rnacentral:rRNA from 1 species
UUGUGCCAGCAGCCGCGGUAAUUCCAGCUCCAAUAGCGUAUAUUAAAGUUGUUGUGGUUAAAAAGCUCGUAGUUGGAUCUCAACAGCCUUGAAGCGGUUAACUUUGUAGUUUUACUGCUUUAUAGGCUGUGCUUUUGCUGGAGGUUUAGGGGUGCUCUUGAUCGAGUGUCUCUGGAUGCCAGCAGGUUUACUUUGAAAAAAUUAGAGUGCUCAAAGCAGGCUAAAAUGCCUGAAUAUUCGUGCAUGGAAUAAUAGAAUAGGAUGUCGAUCCUAUUUUGUUGGUUUUCGGGACUCGACAUAAUGAUAAAUAGGGACAGUCGGGGGCAUUUGUAUUCAAACGACAGAGGUGAAAUUCUUGGACCGUUUGAAGACAAACUACUGCGAAAGCAUUUGCCAAGAAUGUUUUCAUUAAUCAAGAACGAAAGUUAGAGGUUCGAAGGCGAUUAGAUACCGCCCUAGUUCUAACCAUAAACGAUGCCAGCUAGCGAUCUGCCUGCGUUUUUACUGUAGACUGGGCAGGAAGCUUCCGGGAAACCAAAGCAUUUGGGUUCCAGGGGAAGUAUGGUUGCAAAGCUGAAACUUAAAGGAAUUGACGGAAGGGCACCACCAGGAGUGGAGCCUGUGGCUUAAUUUGACUCAACACGGGAAAUCUCACCAGGCCCGGACACUGGAAGGAUUGACAGAUUGAUAGCUCUUUCUUGAUUCGGUGGGUGGUGGUGCAUGGCCGUUCUUAGUUGGUGGAGUGAUUUGUCUGGUUAAUUCCGAUAACGAACGAGACUCUGUCCUGCUAAAUAGUUUCUACUUCUCUUUUGAGUAGAAAUUUCUUCUUAGAGGGACUGGUGACUCUUAGUCACACGAGAUUGAGCAAUAACAGGUCUGUGAUGCCC